GGUUAAGCGACUAAGCGUACACGGUGGAUGCCCUGGCAGUCAGAGGCGAUGAAGGACGUGCUAAUCUGCGAUAAGCGUCGGUAAGGUGAUAUGAACCGUUAUAACCGGCGAUUUCCGAAUGGGGAAACCCAGUGUGUUUCGACACACUAUCAUUAACUGAAUCCAUAGGUUAAUGAGGCGAACCGGGGGAACUGAAACAUCUAAGUACCCCGAGGAAAAGAAAUCAACCGAGAUUCCCCCAGUAGCGGCGAGCGAACGGGGAGGAGCCCAGAGCCUGAAUCAGUGUGUGUGUUAGUGGAAGCGUCUGGAAAGGCGCGCGAUACAGGGUGACAGCCCCGUACACAAAAAUGCACAUAUUGUGAGCUCGAUGAGUAGGGCGGGACACGUGGUAUCCUGUCUGAAUAUGGGGGGACCAUCCUCCAAGGCUAAAUACUCCUGACUGACCGAUAGUGAACCAGUACCGUGAGGGAAAGGCGAAAAGAACCCCGGCGAGGGGAGUGAAAAAGAACCUGAAACCGUGUACGUACAAGCAGUGGGAGCCUCUUUUAUGGGGUGACUGCGUACCUUUUGUAUAAUGGGUCAGCGACUUAUAUUCUGUAGCAAGGUUAACCGAAUAGGGGAGCCGAAGGGAAACCGAGUCUUAACUGGGCGUUAAGUUGCAGGGUAUAGACCCGAAACCCGGUGAUCUAGCCAUGGGCAGGUUGAAGGUUGGGUAACACUAACUGGAGGACCGAACCGACUAAUGUUGAAAAAUUAGCGGAUGACUUGUGGCUGGGGGUGAAAGGCCAAUCAAACCGGGAGAUAGCUGGUUCUCCCCGAAAGCUAUUUAGGUAGCGCCUCGUGAAUUCAUCUCCGGGGGUAGAGCACUGUUUCGGCAAGGGGGUCAUCCCGACUUACCAACCCGAUGCAAACUGCGAAUACCGGAGAAUGUUAUCACGGGAGACACACGGCGGGUGCUAACGUCCGUCGUGAAGAGGGAAACAACCCAGACCGCCAGCUAAGGUCCCAAAGUCAUGGUUAAGUGGGAAACGAUGUGGGAAGGCCCAGACAGCCAGGAUGUUGGCUUAGAAGCAGCCAUCAUUUAAAGAAAGCGUAAUAGCUCACUGGUCGAGUCGGCCUGCGCGGAAGAUGUAACGGGGCUAAACCAUGCACCGAAGCUGCGGCAGCGACACUAUGUGUUGUUGGGUAGGGGAGCGUUCUGUAAGCCUGUGAAGGUGUGCUGUGAGGCAUGCUGGAGGUAUCAGAAGUGCGAAUGCUGACAUAAGUAACGAUAAAGCGGGUGAAAAGCCCGCUCGCCGGAAGACCAAGGGUUCCUGUCCAACGUUAAUCGGGGCAGGGUGAGUCGACCCCUAAGGCGAGGCCGAAAGGCGUAGUCGAUGGGAAACAGGUUAAUAUUCCUGUACUUGGUGUUACUGCGAAGGGGGGACGGAGAAGGCUAUGUUGGCCGGGCGACGGUUGUCCCGGUUUAAGCGUGUAGGCUGGUUUUCCAGGCAAAUCCGGAAAAUCAAGGCUGAGGCGUGAUGACGAGGCACUACGGUGCUGAAGCAACAAAUGCCCUGCUUCCAGGAAAAGCCUCUAAGCAUCAGGUAACAUCAAAUCGUACCCCAAACCGACACAGGUGGUCAGGUAGAGAAUACCAAGGCGCUUGAGAGAACUCGGGUGAAGGAACUAGGCAAAAUGGUGCCGUAACUUCGGGAGAAGGCACGCUGAUAUGUAGGUGAAGUCCCUCGCGGAUGGAGCUGAAAUCAGUCGAAGAUACCAGCUGGCUGCAACUGUUUAUUAAAAACACAGCACUGUGCAAACACGAAAGUGGACGUAUACGGUGUGACGCCUGCCCGGUGCCGGAAGGUUAAUUGAUGGGGUUAGCGCAAGCGAAGCUCUUGAUCGAAGCCCCGGUAAACGGCGGCCGUAACUAUAACGGUCCUAAGGUAGCGAAAUUCCUUGUCGGGUAAGUUCCGACCUGCACGAAUGGCGUAAUGAUGGCCAGGCUGUCUCCACCCGAGACUCAGUGAAAUUGAACUCGCUGUGAAGAUGCAGUGUACCCGCGGCAAGACGGAAAGACCCCGUGAACCUUUACUAUAGCUUGACACUGAACAUUGAGCCUUGAUGUGUAGGAUAGGUGGGAGGCUUAGAAGUGUGGACGCCAGUCUGCAUGGAGCCGACCUUGAAAUACCACCCUUUAAUGUUUGAUGUUCUAACGUUGACCCGUGAUCCGGGUUGCGGACAGUGUCUGGUGGGUAGUUUGACUGGGGCGGUCUCCUCCUAAAGAGUAACGGAGGAGCACGAAGGUUGGCUAAUCCUGGUCGGACAUCAGGAGGUUAGUGCAAUGGCAUAAGCCAGCUUGACUGCGAGCGUGACGGCGCGAGCAGGUGCGAAAGCAGGUCAUAGUGAUCCGGUGGUUCUGAAUGGAAGGGCCAUCGCUCAACGGAUAAAAGGUACUCCGGGGAUAACAGGCUGAUACCGCCCAAGAGUUCAUAUCGACGGCGGUGUUUGGCACCUCGAUGUCGGCUCAUCACAUCCUGGGGCUGAAGUAGGUCCCAAGGGUAUGGCUGUUCGCCAUUUAAAGUGGUACGCGAGCUGGGUUUAGAACGUCGUGAGACAGUUCGGUCCCUAUCUGCCGUGGGCGCUGGAGAACUGAGGGGGGCUGCUCCUAGUACGAGAGGACCGGAGUGGACGCAUCACUGGUGUUCGGGUUGUCAUGCCAAUGGCACUGCCCGGUAGCUAAAUGCGGAAGAGAUAAGUGCUGAAAGCAUCUAAGCACGAAACUUGCCCCGAGAUGAGUUCUCCCUGACUCCUUGAGAGUCCUGAAGGAACGUUGAAGACGACGACGUUGAUAGGCCGGGUGUGUAAGCGCAGCGAUGCGUUGAGCUAACCGGUACUAAUGAACCGUGAGGCUUAACCUU
rnacentral:rRNA from 1 species